GUCUACGGCCACACCACCCUGAAAGCGCCCGAUCUCGUCUGAUCUCGGAAGCUAAGCAGGGACGGGCUUGGUUAGUACCUGGAUGGGAGACCGCCUGGGAAUACCAGGUGUUGUAGGCU
rnacentral:rRNA from 1 species